UGGAAGGUUUCUUGUCUUCUUUCAUUGCAUCAACAAUAUGGGUUGAGAACAGAGCUCCCAUAACACCCUGCUCUCCAACAGAAACCUGCUACAGACAAAUGAACUUCAAGAAAUAUACCAUCAUCAACAUUACCAUCAUCAUGACCAUUAAAAUUAUAAAGAAGACACCUAGAAAAGCAGACUUUGUCAGCUGACUUUCUGGUAGAAUCCAU
rnacentral:lncRNA from 1 species